CAGGCAGGCGGUCUUGUGUGUCCUCUGUGAAAGCCCUCGGCUCAACCGAGGAAUUGCAGGGGAAACUGCGAGACUUGAGUCCGGGAGAGGCUAGUGGAAUUCCCAGUGUAGCGGUGAAAUGCGUAGAUAUUGGGAGGAACACCAGUGGCGAAGGCGGCUAGCUGGACCGGUACUGACGCUAAACUGCGAAAGCCAGGGGAGCGAACG
rnacentral:rRNA from 1 species